GUCAUAAUAUUCCUAUGGACCUAAAAGACCUCCAAAAGGGCUUCUUAGACCCUCAAAAAGGGCUUAGCGCCCUUGAAGAGAGCCCAAAAGCCCAAGGCGCAGAAGCCGCCUUUCUAACCUUCUAGAAACCGCCCAAAAGGCCUAAAUACCCCUAUUACUUGGAGACUAAGCAACCAAAACCCAAGCCCAUAGAAGGCUAUAAAUACCACCCUUGAGAACACUCUCAAGUAUCCAAUAUUCAGUCUAAACCCUAAUAGACGAUUCUUAACCCUAGAAUCCUUUAUUGUACU
rnacentral:lncRNA from 1 species